UCUCUUAUAAAGGGAAACAGAGGAGUAGAAUGUUUCGUCUCAAAAAAAGAAGGGAUAAGACUAAUUGUGGUGUACUUGUACAAUGGGCAAUAAAAUGGAACAAACUACUGUUCUGUACAACAGUUGAGAUGAAUUUCAAAACUAUUAUGCUUAGUGAAAUAUAAGUGAAAAAAGUGUAUACUCUUUUAAUAUUAUGUUCUAGAACAGGCAACAUUUAUAUAGUGUUUCAGAAUAGACAAAACUAAUAUGAACAACAGUUGCACUACGUGGGAGUAGGACAAGUAUUGAUUGAAAAAGGAUAUUAAAGGAAGUUUCUGGAGUGAUUUUAAUAUUCUGUAGUUUUCAGUGGUUUGUAUUGCACAAAGG
rnacentral:lncRNA from 1 species